UUGACCCUUGGGGUAUAAAAGCUUUGGAGCAGUGGGAGGCUCUUCCGACAGCCCCUCAGCACACUUCCCGUCUGUCCCGUUCGCAUGUUCGGCAUAAAAUAUGUUCGAAGUCAACUUUAUGACGUUUAACAAUUUCUUUAAGCUAACAUUUGUCGUUUUCGGUGAUGUGGACGUGUAUCGGUGACGUAAUUUUUGCCCUUAAUGGCUGCUUUCUCUCAUGUGAAAGGACAAGGACGUUUAUUGGACAAAGUAUGGACAGAAUUGUCUGGCAGGAUGGAAUAUACAGACAGGUGGGGAGGUGUUACUGAGAUAAACGUAGGUCUUUUGGGCCAUUUUAUCCGACUCGGUCACUUUUGUCCGAUAUUUUGGUAAUUCACUCCUUUUUUUGUGCCGUGAAGAGCCAAGAACACUCCAGUAUUGAUGGCAACCCUCUGCAUUUCUUUUCAUCCUCAUCUCUUUCUCAUCUGUCCACCCCUCCACCCCCUCUCUCUCUCUCUCUCUCUCUCUCUCUCUCUUUCCUCUCAUCCUCAAAUUCUCAAACGCUGAAUCAGCUGCUUGGGAAUGGACGCUCUCCCUGCCUCUUGGCUCCACACACAAGCUGCCUCUCCCUGGUUCUGUGGUGUCCUUCCCCGGUCCUGUUUGAGAUUCUGGUCUUGCCCUAAAAUGCUUUGCUAAAGCUGGUAAAAUGGAACCAAAUCAACUGUUUUAUGGAUUUGGUCCCCUUCAACCAGCUGUAGCUGUGCAUUGAUCACCCCGUAGAGCUGUGAUGAAGAAAGAGAGGUGUUCAAAAGCACAACGUACAAUAAUUGCUCUGUGUGGAUCUAAGUUACCAGUGCAGGACCGGCUGUUGAAUGAAUGUUCCUUUAAGCACUAAUAUCAUGAUUAAACACUCUUUGUCCUCUUAAAACCCAGGCGAGUAUUAUAUAUGUCAUGUCAUUUAUUAUUUAUGAGCUAUAAUUGUUGAUUAUGUAUUCAAGCAAGCCAAAUCACUAUCAUUGGAAAGAGGGCUCUGGGCUCUUUAUGGUCGCCCAUUGAUUUCUUGUCUCUCCGCUGAAAGAGUGAAGGCGUGGGGUGGAAGGAUGCAGGGAACGGGGAGGGGGGGUGUGUCAAGCUGUUGAAUAAGUAAAACAGUCGUUCCUUUUCUCUCCCUCUCUCUUUUCCUUCUACACUUGUCGUGAUUCUUAAUGCACAUGGUUGAUCAAUAAAAGCUCAUCCUGAAGUUCAUAAA